GGCUGUUUAGCUUAAUGACAGAGUACUCAGCUGGUAUCUGAGGGGGAUGGGUUCGAAUCCCAUAACUGUAU
rnacentral:tRNA from 1 species